AACCCAUAGUGAGGGUACCUUCUUAAUAAAUCCUGGUACCUCUCCCAUGCAUCAUAUAGAGUCUCUAAAUUGAUCUGCACGAAGGAAGAGAUAUCAUUCCUCAACUU
rfam:Gossypium raimondii chromosome 2, whole genome shotgun sequence.